GGAUGGGUAGUUGGGUUGAUACUGUAUAUUUUCCUUUUCCCAUGUGAAAGACUGGAAGGGGCCAGAAUUGACUAUUUCCUUUCCCCAUGUCAGUUAAACUUUGCAAAAACAAAACAGUAGUUUAGGCUCUCAUAAAAUAGGUUAUCCUGAGGGCAGACCUUGUUAAGAAGAACAGAAUCCCCUAGCAUUUUUUUAAAUGGUUACUUCCUCCUUCCCAGGCUGGAAGCCUGAGAAGAUUUUUCACCAUUAUUCACUGUGAAGACCUGGUUGAGCUCCUGGAGCUUGGAUGGUAAACUCACCUGGUGAUGUUUUCAAGAUGGCUGCCUAAGGGGACAGUUUGAGGCCAGGAAAGAGAGAAACUAAGAGACCCAUAUAAGCACCAAACUCAUGACCCUUGACUUAUCAUGGUCUUGCCAAAUGAGUUUUCAGGCUGCAGUGUCCUUACUAUUUGUCCUGUGUCGACAGAAACCACAGAACAAAGCAGGCUGCCUGACUGGGAGGCUGGAGUAGCAGAGGGGCGAGCCCAGAGCUGGGUACUGAAGGGAGUCACAU
rnacentral:lncRNA from 1 species